AAAAGCUAAAUCCCGGCCAGAGCCCGAUAGCGAACAAGUAGAGUGAUCGAAAGAUGAAAAGCACUUUGAAAAGAGAGUCAAACAGUACGUGAAAUUGUUGAAAGGGAAGCGCAUGGGGGCAGACUUGGACGCGGGGUUCAGGACGUCGUGUUGACGUGUGUACUUCCCCGCGGACAGGCCAGCAUCGGUUUCGGGGGCCGGACAAAGACGACAGGAAUGUGGCUCUCUUCGGAGCGUGUUAUAGCCUGACGUGCAAUGCGGCCACCUGGGACCGAGGACCGCGCUUCGGCAAGGAUGCUGGCGUAAUGGCCUCAUGCGGCCCGUCUUGAAACACGGACCAAGGAGUCUAACAUCUAUGCGAGUGUUUGGGUUUGAAGCCCGGACGCGGAAUGAAAGUGAACGGAGGUGGGAGUCCGCAAGGCCGCACCAUCGACCGAUCCGGACGUUUUCCGAAGGAUUUGAGUAAGAGCAUAGCUGUUGGGACCCGAAAGAUGGUGAACUAUGCGUGAAUAGGGUGAAGCCAGAGGAAACUCUGGUGGAGGCUCGCAGCGGUUCUGACGUGCAAAUCGAUCGUCAAAUUUGCGUAUAGGGGCGAAAGACUAAUCGAACCAUCUAGUAGCUGGUUCCUGCCGAAGUUUCCCUCAGGAUAGCAGUAACGUAUUCAGUUUUAUGAGGUAAAGCGAACGAUUAGGGAGCUAGGGGUUGAAACAACCUUUAUCCAUUCUCGAACUUUAAAUAUGUAAGAAGUCCUUGUUGCUUUGUUGAACGUGGACAGUCGAAUGCAGCGUUACUAGUGGGCCAUUUUUGGUAAGCAGAACUGGCGAUGCGGGAUGAACCGAACGUGGGGUUAAGGUGCCGGAAUGCACGCUCAUCAGACACCACAAAAGGUGUUGGUUCAUCCAGACAGCAGGACGGUGGCCAUGGAAGUCGGAAUCCGCUAAGGAGUGUGUAACAACUCACCUGCCGAAUGAACCAGCCCUGAAAAUGGAUGGCGCUCAAGCGUGCUACCCAUACCCCACCGUCUGCGUGAUAAGUUAUACGCAGACGAGUAGGCAGGCGUGGAGGUUUUGUGACGAAGCCCAGG
rnacentral:rRNA from 1 species